UCGAAAGCCUGUCCCAGUUCGGACUGGAGUCUGCAACCCGACUCCACGAAGUUGGAUUCGCUAGUAAUCGCGCAUCAGCCAUGGCGCGGUGAAUACGUUCCCGGGCCUUGUACGCACCGCCCGUCAAGCCAUGGGAGCCGGGGGCGCCUGAAGUCCGGGACCGCGAGGACCGGCCUAGGGCGAAACUGGUAACUGGGGCUAAGUCGUAACAAGGUAAC
rnacentral:rRNA from 1 species